AGACAAGGAAGUCCAAGAUGAAGGUGGUGGCAGAUGCAGUGACUGGGGACAAGUCACCUCCAGGUUCAUAGAUGGCUCUUUUUGCACUGCCCUGACAUGGAAAGAGGGGCUACGCUGCCCUCUGGGCCCUCUUUCAUAAAAGCACUCACCUCAUCCUAAGGGCUUCCCCUCAGGACACAGCGGUCUCCCAGAGGCUCCACCUCCUGACACCUUUUCAGAGCUAAGGAUGGAGCCUAGCCCCUCAUACCUGCUUUGGAUCAGUGCAAAUCCAGAGGCUGCCCUGGGGAGUGACGCGGUGUGGCCAGCAGAUCACUGCAGGAUUGUGUUUAGCCAGGCUUGAUGGCGUACAACUGUAAUCCCAGCACCGUGGGAGGCUGAGGCAAGAGGACUGCAAGUUUGAGCCAAUCCUUGACAAUCUGGUGACUUAGAGAGACUCUCCAAAUAAGAAUAUUUUAAGACAGCUGAGGAUGUAGUUUAAUGUGAAGACUCUGGAUUCAAUCCUCAGUACUGAAGAAAAAAAAAAAGAAAGAAGACCGUGUCCAUGUUCAUGAGAUUUGUCUCUGAAGAAUGAAGGACAUGACCGAAAAGGACCGGCAAAAGCGCAAAACAAUGUGUGGAAAUACCUCACUCCAGUGAUGAAACUUCAGAACAACACAUCUACAGAGGUGUCUUCCAGAGGGGCAAAAGAGGUUCCAGACAGAGGAUCGAGAAGGAAAAUGACUUCUGAGCUCUCAGCACCGAAACACUUGACAACUUCUAUGGAAUGGCAAAGUAUCUCAUUUCUUUUGGUUUAAGUUCGUUGUCCAUAAUGUGGGCACAGUGUUAUGCUGGCGUGUGAAACUUGAAUUUCUUCAGGCCCCUCCAGAGCCGUUUUAAACAACAGCGAGCAGACUGCCUCUCCCUCUCAGCCCCACUGGUCAGGGCUGACCUCUAUUCUCUUGUGAGGUCCUCUGGAAAUCUCUAGCAGCUCUUGAGCUGUUCUGACACUCAGGGUUCACCUAACUCUGCUGUGAAGUGACAGAGGGGACGCCUCCUUGUCCACUCUGUUGGAGGCGUCUCUCAGCAGUACUAAUUAUACCCUGAACUCUUCUAGAAUUCAAGACAAAGUGUCUUGUAUUAGUUUUCUGAGGCCGCCAUAACAAAUUGCCACAAUCUAGGUGUGCUGUUCUAAGACAACAGAAAUUUAUGCUUUUAUAGUUUUAGAUGCCAUAAAUGUUAAAUCAGCGUGCAGCAGGGCCACACUCCUUCUAAGGUGUUAGGAGAGGAUCCUUCCUGUUUGCAUCUUAUUGCACUCCCUGGUUGCUUACCUUAGCCACCUGAUGGGAUAGGGACAAUAAACAGUCUGCCAGAAGCUGCGCCGGGUGACAGAUCUGAGUGACAGGCACAACAUUUUACUCAGAAUCUCCCAUCUUCCUUUUCACCUAAGCUUAUCUUCCUGGGGCCACCGGCCAGCUCCUCCUUAUUUCAAAAUGUGGUCACUCCUAGGGGUCUUGUCCUCCCUGCUCCAUAAGGCCAUACAAAUGCUUGCUUUUAGGUUUAGGUUCAAACUAGAACCUCUUCAAUAAAUAUAAGUAGAGCCCUUAUGAACUUAUAUUAUAUAAAAAUGUUAUUCUGCUUAUUAAAAGCAACUGAGAGCAACUACUUCACAUACAUCUCU